AGUAAAGUCAGCUAAUAAAGCUCUUGGGCCCAUACCCCAAAAAUGUUGGUCAAACCCCUCCUUUACUA
rnacentral:tRNA from 6 species